rnacentral:rRNA from 1 species
GACGAACGCUGGCGGUGUGCUUAACACAUGCAAGUCGAACGGUAAGGCCCUUUCGGGGGUACACGAGUGGCGAACGGGUGAGUAACACGUGAGUAACCUGCCCUCAUCUCUGGGAUAACAGUCGGAAACGGUUGCUAAUACUGGAUAUGAGCUUGCAAGGCAUCUUGUGGGUUGGAAAGAUUUUUUUGGUUGGGGAUGGACUCGCGGCCUAUCAGCUUGUUGGUGAGGUAGUGGCUCACCAAGGCUUCGACGGGUAGCCGGCCUGAGAGGGCGACCGGCCACAUUGGGACUGAGAUACGGCCCAAACUCCUACGGGAGGCAGCAGUGGGGAAUAUUGCACAAUGGACGGAAGUCUGAUGCAGCAACGCCGCGUGCGGGAGGACGGCCUUCGGGUUGUAAACCGCUUUCAAUUGUGACGAAGCUUUUUGUGACGGUAGCAGUAGAAGAAGCACCGGCUAACUACGUG